CCCACCAAAAAUACUUAUAUAGUUAUCCUUGGGCGAUCUUGGAUCUUAAUUAGUACACUCACGUUCUCUGUGGAAAAUCGAUACUCUGGAAUACUCCAGGGUGAAGGCUACAUUGGUAUCCGUGCGCUUGCGGAUUUUUCUGUUUGCGUUUAAAAUACCCAACAAGCUUUCUGGCGCCGUUGCCGGGGAACGGUAGCUGUGCUAGUUUCGAACCAAGUCGUCCGUGUAUCCUUUUUAUUUUCCUUUUUUUUUACCACACUCACCUUAUCAUUUUCACCAUACCACAUGGAUUUCACUCUAAGCAUUAAUGAGCAUGGAAUUUAUUUCAUAGCCACUUCAUUUACUCCAUGCUCAUAUGCAACAUCUUCACAAUCCAUUGGUCUCUCCAACAUCACCACAUUCGAGAUCUCCAACCCCCUCUUCCUUUCUAUUCAUAAAAACUUUAAAAGGGUGGUUGUCGAUGAAUAUGUCUAUAUUAAAUAUUGUAGAUCUCGUUGAGUUGAUCUUGAUAUAGGUCAGCGUUGGAGGGAAAACCACUUCGCUGACAUAAAUUGAUGGUUUCCCAAGGACAAGCUUAGUGUCCUAAAACAAGCACUGAUC
rnacentral:lncRNA from 1 species